UGGGGUAUCGCAAAGCGGUAAGGCACCGGUUUUUGAUACAGGCAUUACCUGGUUCGAAUCAAGGUACCCCAGCCA
rnacentral:tRNA from 1 species